rnacentral:rRNA from 1 species
AUGUCUAAGUAUAAGCACUUUGUACUGUGAAACUGCGAAUGGCUCAUUAAAUCAGUUAUAGUUUAUUUGAUCGUACCUUACUACUUGGAUAACCGUGGUAAUUCUAGUGCUAAUACAUGCUUUCAGCCCCGACUUCAGGAAGGGGAGUAUUUAUUAGAUAAAAACCAAUCGUAGCAAUACGUUUUCAGGUGAAUCAUGAUAACUAUUCGAAUCGCAUGGCUUUGCCGGCGAUGGUUCAUUCAAAUUUCUGCCCUAUCAACUUUCGAUGGUAGUAUAGAGGACUACCAUGGUUAUAACGGGUAACGGAGAAUUAGGGUUCGAUUCCGGAGAGGGAGCCUGAGAAACGGCUACCACAUCCAAGGAAGGCAGCAGGCGCGCAAAUUACCCAAUCCCGAUUCGGGGAGGUAGUGACAAUAAAUAACAAUACAGAGCUUUAGAGUUUUGUAAUUGUAAUGAGAACAAUUUAAACCUCUUACCGAGAACCAAUUGGAGGGCAAGUCUGGUGCCAGCAGCCGCGGUAAUUCCAGCUCCAAUAGCGUAUAUUAAAGUUGUUGCAGUUAAAAAGCUCGUAGUUGAACUUUUGGCUUGGCUGGGCGGUCUCUCAUUGAGUAGUACUUUCUGGCCUCGUCUUUCCUUCUGGAGAAGUAUGGUGCUAUUCAUUUAGUGCUGUAGGGAACCAGGACUUUUACUUUGAAAAAAUUAGAGUGUUUAAAGCAGGCUUGGCUUGAAUACAUUAGCAUGGAAUAAUAAAAUAGGACUUUGGUUUUAUUUUGUUGGUUUUCUCAACCAAAGUAAUGAUUGAUAGGGACAGUUGGGGGCAUUUGUAUUGAGCCGUCAGAGGUGAAAUUCUUGGAUUGGCUCAAGACAAACUUCUGCGAAAGCAUUUGCCAAGGAUGUUUUCAUUAAUCAAGAACGAAAGUUAGGGGAUCGAAGACGAUCAGAUACCGUCGUAGUCUUAACCAUAAACUAUGCCGACUAGGGAUCGGACGAGAUCAAUUGAGACUUGUUCGGCACCUUGAGAGAAAUC